UACAGAGGGGCCAGCGUUAUUCGGAAUUAUUGGGCGUAAAGGGCUCGUAGGCGGCCAACUAAGUCAGACGUGAAAUCCCUCGGCUUAACCGGGGAACUGCGUCUGAUACUGGAUGGCUUGAAUCCGGGAGAGGGAUGCGGAAUUCCAGGUGUAGCGGUGAAAUGCGUAGAUAUCUGGAGGAACACCGGUGGCGAAGGCGGCAUCCUGGACCGGCAUUGACGCUGAGGAGCGAAAGCCAGGGGAGCAAACGGG
rnacentral:rRNA from 1 species